UACGUAGGUGGCAAGCGUUGUCCGGAUUUACUGGGCGUAAAGGGCGUGCAGGCGGUCUGUUAAGUCUAGGGUGAAAGCUCCCGGCUCAACUGGGAGAGGCUCCUUGGAUACUGGCGGACUUGAGGGAUGCAGAGGAAAGUGGGAAUUCCCGGUGUAGUGGUGAUAUGCGUAGAUAUCGGGAGGAACACCAGUGGCGAAGGCGGCUUCUGGGCAUUUCCUGACGCUGAUGCGCGAAAGCGUGGGUAGCAAACAGG
rnacentral:rRNA from 1 species